CACUGAAACACUGGUUCCCGUAAAAUCACCGACGUUAAGCAACGUCGAACCUGGUCAGUACCUAGAUGGGCGACCCCUUGGGAAUACUAGGUGCUGUAU